AUUGAACGCUGGCGGCAUGCCUUACACAUGCAAGUCGAACGGCAGCACGGGAGUAAUCCUGGUGGCGAGUGGCGAACGGGUGAGUAAUAUAUCGGAACGUGCCCAGUCGUGGGGGAUAACGCAGCGAAAGCUGUGCUAAUACCGCAUACGACCUCUGGAUGAAAGCGGGGGACCGUAAGGCCUCGCGCGAUUGGAGCGGCCGAUAUCAGAUUAGCUAGUUGGUGGGGUAAAGGCCCACCAAGGCGACGAUCUGUAGCUGGUCUGAGAGGACGACCAGCCACACUGGAACUGAGACACGGUCCAGACUCCUACGGGAGGCAGCAGUGGGGAAUUUUGGACAAUGGGCGCAAGCCUGAUCCAGCAAUGCCGCGUGCAGGAUGAAGGCCUUCGGGUUGUAAACUGCUUUUGUACGGAACGAAACGGCGAGCUCUAAUAAAGUUUGCUAAUGACGGUACCGUAAGAAUAAGCACCGGCUAACUACGUGCCAGCAGCCGCGGUAA
rnacentral:rRNA from 1 species